CCUACGGGUGGCUGCAGUGGGGAAUUUUGCGCAAUGGGCGAAAGCCUGACGCAGCAACGCCGCGUGGGUGAUGAGGGUCUUCGGAUCGUAAAACCCUGUCGUCGGGGACGAAGGUUGUAUGCCUAACAGGUGUGCAAUUUGACGGUACCCGGAGAGGAAGCCCCGGCUAACUCUGUGCCAGCAGCCGCGGUAAUACAGAGGGGGCAAGCGUUAUUCGGAAUGAUUGGGGGUGAUGUUUUAGUUCAGGUGUGUAAUCCCCGAGCUCAACUUGGGAACUGCAUCUGAGACUGGAAGGCUAGAGUACUGGAGAGGGUGGUAGAAUUCCACGUGUAGCGGUGAAAUGCGUAGAGAUGUGGAGGAAUACCAGUGGCGAAGGCGGCCACCUGGACAGUAACUGACGCUGAGGCGCGAAAGUGUGGGUAGCAAACAGGAUUAGAUACCCCAGUAGUC
rnacentral:rRNA from 1 species